GGGCUCGUAGCUCAGUUGGUAGAGCACUGCUAUGGCAUGGCAGGGGUCGCGGGUUCGAAUCCCGCCGAGUCCA
rnacentral:tRNA from 1 species